rnacentral:rRNA from 1 species
GAUGAACGCUGGCGGCGUGCCUAAUACAUGCAAGUCGAGCGAACAGACGAGGAGCUUGCUCCUCUGACGUUAGCGGCGGACGGGUGAGUAACACGUGGAUACCCUACCUAUAAGACUGGGAUAACUUCGGGAAACCGGAGCUAAUACCGGAUAAUAUAUUGAACCGCAUGGUUCAAUAGUGAAAGACGGUUUUGCUGUCACUUAUAGAUGGAUCCGCGCCGCAUUAGCUAGUUGGUAAGGUAACGGCUUACCAAGGCAACGAUGCGUAGCCGACGUGAGAGAGUGAUAGGCGACAUGGGAGCGGGGACACGGUCAAGGCGCCUGAGGGAGGCAGCAGUAGGGAAUCUGACGCAAUGGGCGAAAGCAUGACGGAGCAACGCCGCGUGAGUGAUGAAGGUCUUCGGAGCGUAAAACUCUGUUAUUAGGGAAGAACAGAUGUGUAAGUAACUAUGCACGUAUUGACGGUACCUAAUCAGAAAGCCACGGCUAACUACGUG